AGUUUCCUGUUUCAACAAAGCGGAUUCGCAUUGGUUUUGUCGACUCUGAGUAUGUUAAGCUCGUGCACCGCGACUCUAAAAAAGCCCUCAUCAAUGGAGCCCCGAUUCACUGAUUCACCACGGAGGCCGGAGGGGAAAGAAAGCACUCAACAUAUUUUUCACCGCUGGAGCUGGAAAUUUUGAUGGAGGCGUACGGUGAAUAUCAGCAAAUAUUCCGGAAAAAAAGUAACACGGCAGCAGCGGCAAAAGAAGAGACAAGAAGAAAAGUGAGAAGAAAAUCACUUCUCGAGUCAAUGCGUAAGUUUUGUGUUUAAUCACUCAUAAAAUAUUGCAUGUAAAAAAUGGUAUUGACCCUCUGUUCAUGUGGUGCAACCAAGGAGGUGAAAAACGGGUGAAAUAUAAAAAUAUAAUUCAGUCAGAAAGAGGGCAGGGGCCCCUAAAACGGGUGGAGGACCUGCACCACCACCUCUAACAGAGGCAGAGGAGAUGGCCCUGAGCCAAACUACUGGAAGGCCAGUGGCUGAAGAAAUCCCAGGGGGCAGCUCAUCUGAGCCAGUCACCCCCCAGGACACAAGUGUCUUCAUAACAUGUAAGAAGUCCACACCUCUAUAAUAUUUUUUAUGAAGCCUCUUUUAGAGACAGGACGUUUGCUCUUGAAUCCAGUAGACUCUGAGGGACAUCUCCACCUAUUGGAGCCUCAUGUAGCCCAACUCCAGCCUGUUGUAAGUAACUCAACACACCAAAACUCAUAACCAAUAGUGGUAUAAAGUUCACAGAAUAAAAUGCUUGUCUUCAAAGGAUAAUGAAGAUGAAGACACUGUGUCUGCUGUCACAGAAAGGCCUACAGAGGCAUCACAUUAGAUCAGCUUUACAUGUACAUGUGACAUUCUUGUAUGGAUUUAUAUUGACAUGGAAGCUAACAUUGUUAUCCUUUGUUAACAGAGCGUAACUGGACAGCAUGAAGAGCGUCCAUCAAACUCUGCAGCACCAAUGAACACAGUGAGAGUUUCAGUAAACAACACAGUUUAAUUCUGUACAAUUUUACAUGUAGAACAAUAUGAUUUAAUUUCAUUCUUAUGGAUUUCCAGUUACCAGUUAUACAGAAUCCAUCUCCUUAAACAGAUAAAAAAACAGAUAAGGAAAUGGUUCACUUGGACCGCCAGAUCCAAAAGGCAGAUCUGGAAAUCGAGAUACUUAAAUACAAGUUAGAGGUGAGUGUGCAGUCACAGGUAAAUUUAAUUUAUUAUUGGAACAAUAUGAAAAACUAACAGAAAAAUGUUCUCUUUGUCUCUCUCUGUCUGUAGGAUAUAAGGAAGACUAAAUAAAAUGAAUGCGUGACAGUGUGGUCAUUUA